UGAUGUAGCUCAGUUGGUAGAGCAGCUGAUUCGUAAUCAGCAGGUCUCCGGUUCAAGUCCGGUCAUCA
rnacentral:tRNA from 1 species